GGGGGCAUGGUGAAGUGGUAUCACAAUUCUCUCCAAAAGAAUUGUCCUGGGUUCGAUUCCUAGUGCCCCCG
rnacentral:tRNA from 1 species